AUGCCAUGAUGUGGGCACUUUCUCAAUAACUCGUUGAACCUCUCACAAGCAUCACAUACCAACUCAUCCUCCAACUGUUGAAAAGACAUAACCUCGUUCCGAAACUU